AAGGCCAGUGCUUGCACUGGUACUCGAGUGGCGAACGGGUGAGUAACACGUGGGUGAUCUGCCCUCAACUCCGGGAUAAGCCUGGGAAACUGGGUCUAAUACUGGAUAGGACCACAUCGUAGGUGGUGUGGUGGAAAGCGUUUGUAGCGGUUGGGGAUGAGCUCGCGGCCUAUCAGCUUGUUGGUGGGGUAAUGGCCUACCAAGGCGGCGACGGGUAGCCGGCCUGAGAGGGUGUACGGUCACAUUGGGACUGAGAUACGGCCCAGACUCCUACGGGAGGCAGCAGUGGGGAAUAUUGCACAAUGGGCGCAAGCCUGAUGCAGCGACGCCGCGUGGGGGAUGACGGCCUUCGGGUUGUAAACCUCUUUCGACCGUGACGAAGCCUUUGGUGACGGUAGCGGUAGAAGAAGCACCGGCUAACUACGUGCCAGCAGCCGCGGUAAUACGUAGGGUGCGAGCGUUGUCCGGAUUUACUGGGCGUAAAGGGCUCGUAGGUGGUUUGUCGCGUCGUCUGUGAAAUUCCGGGGCUCAACUCCGGGCGUGCAGGCGAUACGGGCAUAACUUGAGUACUGCAGGGGUAACUGGAAUUCCUGGUGUAGCGGUGGAAUGCGCAGAUAUCAGGAGGAACACCGAUGGCGAAGGCAG
rnacentral:rRNA from 1 species